rnacentral:rRNA from 1 species
UACGAAGGGAGCUAGCGUUGUUCGGAAUCACUGGGCGUAAAGCGCACGUAGGCGGAUUUGCCAGUCAGGGGUGAAAUCCCGGGGCUCAACCUCGGAACUGCCUUUGAUACAGCAAGUCUUGAGUUCGAGAGAGGUGGGUGGAACUCCUAGUGUAGAGGUGAAAUUCGUAGAUAUUAGGAAGAACACCGGUGGCGAAGGCGGCCCGCUGGCUCGACACUGACGCUGAGGUGCGAAAGCGUGGGGAGCAAACAGG